AGCGGAAGCGGCCCCGGGGCAGGCUGGGAGUUGUAGUUCCUGUCUCUCCCUGGACCGGAAGUGACGUCGGCAGAGGAGACGGAGCCGGGCUGGAAAGGAGCGUUGAGCGCUGCGGCUCUGCCUGGCUCGCGCGGGGCCGUUGGAGCCUCUCCCGGGCCGGAGAAGGGUGUGUGACUGAGAUCAGGGCUCUUAUUGUACUGAGCGUGUUCCUGUUAUGACAGCUGCUGCAGAGACCCCAACUGAGACCUGGGCCCUGUUCUGCCAGCCACUGAAGAGACCCCAGGCUGCAGGUUAACGUCCACGUUUUGCGCCAGAUCAUUUCAUCCUCCCAAAGGGAAGGAAA